GUUCCCCUGCUAUGUUCGUGAUUGGUGGAAGAUUUUUGAGCUAACAGUAACGGAAAAGGGAGCUCCCUCUUGCCUUUGUGUGUUUUUUGGAUAGUGGAAAAGACCUAAUGAGGUAACGGAACACCCACCUGGUACAGAUCAGGUUCAAAAAGAGCUGCUGACACGGCAUUGGAGCGGGGGAAAC
rnacentral:other from 1 species